UGGGGGAAUAUUGCACAAUGGGGGAAACCCUGAUGCAGCGACGCCGCGUGAAGGAAGAAGUAUUUCGGUAUGUAAACUUCUAUCAGCAGGGAAGAAAAUGACGGUACCUGACUAAGAAGCCCCGGCUAACUACGUGCC
rnacentral:rRNA from 1 species